UUAUUACUCCCUCCGUCUUAAAAUUCUUGUCUUAGAUUCGUCUAGAUACGAAUGUAUCUAAUACUAAAACGUGACUUGAUACAUCCGUAUUUAGACAAAUCUAAGACAAGAAUUUUGAGACGAAGGGAGUACAAC
rnacentral:pre_miRNA from 1 species